rnacentral:lncRNA from 1 species
CAAUGCCAAUUCAUCCCACACCUAAAACAAACAUCUGAUUUGUUCUUUAUUUGUGUUGCAUUUUCUUUAUUUUUACCCGACCCAGACACUUGCCACUUCUGGUGGCCUGAAUUGUCGCGGUUCUAAAAUUUGUUGUUAUGAUGGCCUCGUUUAUUCUUUCGCCCCAAGGCUUCUUAUUAUAUGGCCAUCUAUAGUCACAUUUAUUCUGCUGGAAUGACGUGUUGUUAAUAUCCGGC